GGUUCCGGUGACACCAGCGACUGAAAGCCAAGAACGGACGGGGAAAAGGACCCCAACCAAACCCCACCCCCCUCCCGGCCGCGCCGCCGCCCGCUCACUCGGCCGGGUGAAUAUGCCUGCGUCAGCUGGAUUUCACAGCCCCGGACACCCAUACGCUCAGCGCAACACCACCGCAGACAUGCGACGGCCCUCGCCGGGACGGCAAUCCCAGUGCGAGGGCCUGACCACCGAGGAAGAGGCAACUUCCCG
rnacentral:ncRNA from 1 species